rnacentral:rRNA from 1 species
AUUGAACGCUGGCGGCAGGUCUAACACAUGCAAGUCGAACGAGUGGCGGACGGGUGAGUAAUGUCUGGGAAACUGCCUGAUGGAGGGGGAUAACUACUGGAAACGGUAGCUAAUACCCCAUACCAUCAGAUGUGCCCAGAUGGGAUUAGCUUGUUGGUUGGUUAACGGCUCACCAGGGCGACGAUCCCUAACUGGUCUGAGAGGAUGACGCGCCACACUGGAACUGAGACACGGUCCAGCCUCCUACGGGGGGAAGCAGUGGGGAAUAUUGCACAAUGGGCGCAAGCCUGAUGCAGCCAUGCCGCGUGUAUGAAGAAGGCCUUCGGGUUGUAAAGUACUUUCAGCGGGGAGGCGUUACCCGCAGAAGAAGCACCGGCUAACUCCGUGCCAGCAGCCGCGGUAAUAC